GAUGAACGCUGACAGAAUGCUUAACACAUGCAAGUCAACUGUGGCGGACGGGUGAGUAACGCGUAAAGAACUUGCCUCACAGUUAGGGACAACAUUUGGAAACGAAUGCUAAUACCUGAGACUGUGAGAGAGCUUUGCGUCGCAUUAGCUAGUUGGAGAGGUAACGGCUCACGAAGGCGAGGAUGGGUAGCCGGCCUGAGAGGGUGAUCGGCCACAAGGGGACUGAGACACGGGCCUUACCGAUACGGGAGGCAGCAGUGGGGAAUAUUGGACAAUGUACCAAAGUCUGAUCCAGCAAUUCUGUGUGCACGAUGAAGUUUUCGGAAUGUAAAGUGCUUUCAGUUGGGAAGCGGUACCAACAGAAGAAGUGACGGCUAAAUACGUGCCAGCAGCCGCGGUAAUAC
rnacentral:rRNA from 1 species